CCUGGCAGGGGACACCAUCGCCAGCGUCAAUGGCCUGAAUGUGGAAGGCAUCCGGCAUCGAGAGAUUGUGGACAUCAUUAAGGCGUCAGGCAAUGUUCUCAGGUAUGUCUGGGAGCCGAGGUGCCUGAAUUCCUGAGCUCAGCCUCUUGGUAUUUCCUCAGCCUGUGGCUCACUCAGGCUUUGAUUCUCCAACCUCAGACUGGAAACUCUAUAUGGGACAUCAAUUCGGAAGGCAGAACUGGAGGCUCGUCUGCAGUACCUGAAGCAAACCCUGUAUGAGAAGUGGGGAGAGUACAGGUCCCUAAUGGUGCAGGAGCAGCGGCUGGUGCAUGGUGAGUAGAUCCCGGGGUGUGAGGGGCCACUUGUUCUGCUACAGACACCCCAUCUGCGCUUCCCCCUCAGAACUGGCGGGUUCUAGUAAAGAACGGUUUACUAGUAAACCUCCACAGUAAAGCAAGGUUUGUUGAGCUACUACUACUUUGGGUACUGCCGCAGCCACAUUUCUGGUUAUUCUCACACUAGCCCUCUGCAGGUAAGUAACAGAUAGUGUCAUCUUCACUUUACAGAGGGGAACACCAGGGCUCAAAGAGUUUGUGUCAAUUAUUUCCGAGGCCCGUUUGUGCUAAGCGGCCCCCAUAAGGAUCUGAGUGAUAAUUCCUGAU
rnacentral:lncRNA from 10 species